AUUAUGAAGUGUGUAUCUUCGGUACACUUUUCAGUCCGGGUUAACGGUGAGCUGUUGCCUUCCUUUACACCCUCGCAUGGGUUGAGACAAGGGGACCCGGCAUCGCCUUUUCUUUUUCUGCUCUGUGCGGAGGGUUUCUCCUCUAUGCUGAAGUUUUACAAUAAUGGGCACAUUGACAGAGGCAUAAGAAUGAGCUACAGAUCGCCAUGGGUUUCACAUUUGCUCUUUGCUGACGACAGCUUGAUCUUCGUUAGUGCAACUACCCAAAGUGUAGAGAGGUUGAAUGACAUCCUGAGGAUUUAC
rnacentral:rRNA from 1 species